rnacentral:pre_miRNA from 1 species
AAUAAGUGCAGUUUUACACUAUUCACAUUCAACGUUUGAUCGUUCGUCUUAUUUGAAUUUUUUUUAUGAUUAGCAUUUUUAUUGCUAUUAGAUAAUAAAACAUGAAUAGUAUUUUAUGCGUGACUAAAUAUUUUUAAUUUUUUCACAAAUUUUUCAAAUAAGACAGACUGUCAAACGUUGGACACGGAUAUUCACGGCUGCACUUAUU